rnacentral:tRNA from 2 species
GGGCUGCUAGCUCAGCUGGUAGAGCACAUGACUUUUAAUCAUGGGGUCCUGGGUUCGAAUCCCAGGCGGCUCACCA